rnacentral:piRNA from 1 species
UAAUACUCACAGUUGCCAACUUCAUUAGG